rnacentral:rRNA from 1 species
UACGGGGGGGGGCAAGCGUUGUUCGGAAUUACUGGGCGUAAAGGGUUCGUAGGUGGCCAACUAAGUCAUACGUGAAAAUCCCUCGGCUUAACCGGGGAACUGCGUCUGAUACUGCGGGGCUAGAGUGCAGAAGGGGCACUGGAAUUCUCGGUGUAGCGGUGAAAUGCGUAGAUAUCGAGAGGAACACCUGCGGCGAAGGCGGGUUGCUGGGCUGACACUGACGCUGAUGCGCGAAAGCUAGGGGAGCGAACGGG